rnacentral:lncRNA from 1 species
UUCAGAGCCUUACAUCUGCCAGCCUUGUGGGCCAGGAGAAUGGGCACCCGAGCAGAAACCACAUGUUUCUCAUGCACUGUGGAGUUCUUGGCUUGGUAUGAACCCAUCUCUUUGGUGCAUUUAGCAGCUAACAUGAUAUUGUUGCUGCCACUGGUUGGUACUGUCCGCCUGUUUUCCUGGCAUCUUCACAUACCUGUUGUGAGGUCAGCUGGGGUUAAGCUGUGCUUCCUCA